UGCCAGCCGCCGCGGUAACACGAACCGUACAAACGUUAUUCGGAAUCACUGGGCUUAAAGGGUGCGUAGGCGGCUCAGCAAGUUGGGUGUGAAAGCCCUCGGCUCAACCGAGGAAUUGCGCUCAAAACUGCUGGGCUAGAGGGAGACAGAGGUAAGCGGAACUCAGGGUGGAGCGGUGAAAUGCGUUGAUAUCCUGGGGAACACCAGUGGCGAAGGCGGCUUACUGGGUCUCUUCUGACGCUGAGGCACGAAAGCUAGGGUAGCGAACGGGAUUAGAUA
rnacentral:rRNA from 1 species